rnacentral:lncRNA from 1 species
CCUUGAGCACAUGCAUCUCCUCUGCUAUGACCAUGAUGCAUCGAUGCUCAAGGUGGGCCCGUCCAUUGCCUUAACCAACAAACUGUUUUCCAUGAUCGGAACCAGCACAUCAACACCUGAUUACAUUUCAUCCUGGAGAGUGUUGAUAGGGGGAAGAUUGACCUCAAGCACCCCGCAGGCAUUUUCGCAAAGUCACUCACGCGCAUUAAGUUCCAUGAGCUACCUAUAGAAAUCAUGCCGUCGAGAUCACAGGCAAAAAACCGGAUUUCCGGGUGAACAUAUAUACUACAUGGUGUGUUGUAAUUGUUUACUUAUAGCUGUUUACAACUAGUUUUGCUAUGCAUAUUAUUCAC